CCUACGGGUGGCAGCAGUGGGGAAUUUUGGACAAUGGGCGCAAGCCUGAUCCAGCUAUUCCGCGUGUGGGAAGACGGCCUUCUGGUUGUAAACCUCUUUUGUAGAGAACGAAAAGUCUAUUGAUAAUACCUAUAUACGAUGACGGUACUCUAAGAAUAAGCCCCGGCUCACUACGUGCCAGCAGCCGCGGUAAUCCGUAGGGUGCGAGCGUUAAUCGGAAUUACUGGGCGUAAAGGGUGUGCAGGUGGUUUUGCAAGAUGGAUGUGAAAGCCCCGGGCUUAACAUGGGAAAGCCAUACAUGAUGGCAAGACUAGAUGGCGUUAGAGGGGGGUGGAAUUCCAAGUGUAGCAGGGAAUGCGUAGAUAUUUGGAAGAACACCGAUGGCGAAGGCAGCCCACUGGGACGCAACUGACGCUCAUACACGAAAGCGUGGGGAGCAAACAGGAUUAGAUACCCUUGUAGUC
rnacentral:rRNA from 1 species